UACGGAGGGUGCAAGCGUUAUCCGGAUUCACUGGGUUUAAAGGGUGCGUAGGUGGGAAUGUAAGUCAGUGGUGAAAUCUCCGUGCUUAACAUGGAAACUGCCAUUGAUACUAUCUGUCUUGAAUAUCGUGGAGGUAAGCGGAAUAUGUCAUGUAGCGGUGAAAUGCUUAGAUAUGACAUAGAACACCAAUUGCGAAGGCAGCUUACUACCCGAAUAUUGACACUGAGGCACGAAAGCGUGGGGAUCAAACAGG
rnacentral:rRNA from 1 species